GGCCUGAUGGCAGAGUGACUUAUGCUCUGGCCUUCGGUGCCACAUGUUUCGGGUUCGAGUCCCGAUGGUGUCA